UUCAAUUCCACAAGUAAUGGCGAAAGAACUCUCGUUACUUACUUAUACUUGUGCGCCGGGCAAUAAGCAAUGCAGUGUGGAGUGACUUUAUUCAACAAGUGAGUCAGGAGUUUCUUACCUCUAUUCUUCAGUGAAGUGAGUUCCGCAGUUAGGAAGCAAUGCAGUUUCGAGUUCGCCGGGCUAGUGACUUUGUGCCAGCAGUAAUAAGUGUUUUUACGCGGUUAGGAAGCAAUCCUCUGUUAGGUAGCAAACGGAUAUUAGGGGGUUUUAGAUUCCAUUCAAAGAAGCCAGUACGCUUAGAAUACUUCCGAGGUGCCUGAUAUUCUCUUCUUGACUUUCCCCGGAGUGCCUCAGGAAGCAAUGCAGUUU
rnacentral:lncRNA from 1 species